UGAGGAUAUAGCUCAGUUGGUAGAGUACUUGUCUCGCAUGCACAUGGCCUUGGGUUCAAUCCCCAGUACCACAA
rnacentral:tRNA from 1 species